ACUCCCCAAAGAGUAAGCAGUGCUUGUAACUUGUCUCUGGGUAACUUGUCUACUCCAACUAACUUAAAGAAGGACCAGCCUUCGUCUGUGUGUGGGUCUUCGUCUAAUUAUCCGAGGUAUGGAUUUGCAUUGGAGUACAACAAAUGACGAAGAUCAAGGACAUCACAAAAUGGAGCUAGAAGUUUGACAUAGGAAAUUGUAUUUACUUUACUUAGAUUAGGAAACACUUUAUGUUGUACUCAUUUGACAUUACAUUACUUUUGUACUUUAUUUUUGGGGAAGUAGACUUUUUUUAAUUAACCAAAAGCAAUGGGAUGACAUAUUAUGACA